rnacentral:rRNA from 1 species
GACGAACGCUGGCGGCGUGCUUAACACAUGCAAGUCGAACGAUGAAGCUGGAGCUUGCUCCAGUGGAUUAGUGGCGAACGGGUGAGUAACACGUGAGCAAUCUGCCCUUGACUCUGGGAUAACUGCGGGAAACUGUAGCUAAUACCGGAUACGACACCUUGGGGCAUCCCAGGGUGUGGAAAGAAUUUCGGUCAAGGAUGAGCUCGCGGCCUAUCAGCUAGUUGGUGAGGUAAUGGCUCACCAAGGCGACGACGGGUAGCCGGCCUGAGAGGGUGACCGGCCACACUGGAACUGAGAUACGGUCCAGACUCCUACGGGAGGCAGCAGUGGGGAAUUUUCCGCAAUGGGCGAAAGCCUGACGGAGCAAUACCGCGUGAGGGAAGAAUAGCCUAUGGGUUGUAAACCUCUUUUUUCUAGGGAGGAAUAAAAUAGACGUGUACCUGAAGAAUAAGCAUCGGCUAACUCCGUG